rnacentral:tRNA from 1 species
GGGCAGGUGGCCGAGUGGUUAAAGGCGACAGACUGUAAAUCUGUUCCGCGAGGUACGAUGGUUCGAAUCCAUCCCUGCCCACCA